AACAGAGUGCCUGGUUGGGUUUUUUUUUUUUUUUUCCUUCCUGGAUACAAGUUAUUGUAACGGAAAGAAUUGUUUGCAUUUGUCCUAGAACUGACUGACGGGCUGCAGAACACCUCGUGUCCUGAGAGAGGCCAAGUUUAAAAGGUUUUCAUGAAGUUUAAAUGAGUUAAUGUUUGUGAAAAGCUUGGACCAGUGCAUGUAACAUGAUUAAAUAAGCAACAGUUGUUUUUUGCUGCUUUGUGAUCAAUAAACUACAACCCAUGGAGAAAUAGGUAAAAUGGCAUAAUUCAGAACAGUAAAUUCUCCAAGAAAAGGUAAGAAAAAGUAUCUAUUUGACUUUUAAGAGAUGUUUUUAAGUUUUCUGAGGAAACCGCAUAUGCGAUGAGGUUUUCCAUCUCACGAUGCUUCAUUUUUAAACUGGUGGCCUCAGUACAAUGAAGCCUUGCUCAUUAGAUUUCUUAUUUUGGUAUUGAUUUUGUCAGUCUAUAGUGAAUGAAAUGGUGUCAUAAAAGCCAAGUUUAACUCUUAUAGUAUUCUGUGGUAGUAGUCAACAAGUAAAAAUGUGUAAGUAGUAAAUAAUAACAGUUCAUGAGCAACUA